rnacentral:rRNA from 1 species
UACAGAGGCCCCAAGCGUUACUGAGAAUCACUGGGUUUAAAGGGUGCGUAGGUGGCGCGUUAAGUCCGUUGUGAAAUCCCUUGGCUCAACCAAGGAAUGGCUUCGGAUACUGGCGUGCUUGAGGUUGGUAUGGGUCACUGGAACUGACGGUGGAGCGGUGAAAUGCGUAGAUAUCGUCAGGAACGCCAAUGGUGAAGACAGGUGACUGGGCCAAUUCUGACACUGAGGCACGAAAGCGUGGGGAGCGAACGGG